rnacentral:rRNA from 1 species
AACGAACGCUGGCGGCAUGCCUAACACAUGCAAGUCGAACGGGAUCCAGGCUUCGGUCUGGUGAGAGUGGCGGACGGGUGAGUAACGCGUGGGAACCUGCCCAAUGGUCUGGGAUAACCGCGGGAAACUGCGGCUAAUACCGGAUAAGCCCGAGAGGGGAAAGAUUUAUCGCCGAUGGAGGGGCCCGCGUCCGAUUAGGUAGUUGGUGAGGUAAUGGCUCACCAAGCCGACGAUCGGUAGCUGGUCUGAGAGGAUGAUCAGCCACACUGGGACUGAGAUACGGCCCAGACUCCUACGGGAGGCAGCAGUGGGGAAUAUUGGACAAUGGGGGCAACCCUGAUCCAGCAAUGCCGCGUGAGUGAUGAAGGCCUUAGGGUUGUAAAGCUCUUUUGGCGGGGACGAUGAUGACGGUACCCGCAGAAUAAGCCCCGGCUAACUUCGUGCCAGCCGCCGCUGUAACAC